AAUGAAUUGACGGGGGCCCGCACAAGCGGUGGAGCAUGUGGUUUAAUUCGAUGCAACGCGAAGAACCUUACCUACUCUUGACAUCCAGAGAACUUAGCAGAGAUGCUUUGGUGCCUUCGGGAACUCUGAGACAGGUGCUGCAUGGCUGUCGUCAGCUCGUGUUGUGAAAUGUUGGGUUAAGUCCCGCAACGAGCGCAACCCUUAUCCUUUGUUGCCAGCGGUCCGGCCGGGAACUCAAAGGAGACUGCCAGUGAUAAACUGGAGGAAGGUGGGGAUGACGUCAAGUCAUCAUGGCCCUUACGAGUAGGGCUACACACGU
rnacentral:rRNA from 1 species